AAGCGACGGCGUGCCUAUUGAAGAAUGAACCAACGAGUUACGUGCACUAGCGAGGUUAAGUGGAAGACACGGAGCCGAAGCGAAAGCGAGUCUUAAGAGGGCGGAUAGUUAGUGUACGUAGACCCGAAACCGCAGUGAUCUACCCAUGUCCAGGUUGAAGCGCAGGUAAAAUUGCGUGGAGGACCGAACCUGUGAGCGUUGAAAAGCUUUAGGAUGAGAUGUGGGUAGAGGUGAAAUUCCAAUCGAACGCGGAGAUAGCUGGUUCUCCCCGAAAUAGCUUUAGGGCUAGCCUCAAGUAGUAAGUAUAGGCGGUAGAGCACUGAUCGGGCUAGGGGCCAUAAAGGUUACCGAACCCUGUCAAACUCCGAAUGGUUAUACUGUAGAGCUUGGGAGUCAGACUACGAGUGAUAAGAUCCGUGGUCAAAAGGGAAACAGCCCAGACCACCAGCUAAGGUCCCCAAUGUCGUACUAAGUGGAAAAGGAUGUGGGGUCUCUAAAACAACCAGGAUGUUGGCUUAGAAGCAGCCACCAUUUAAAGAGUGCGUAAUAGCUCACUGGUCGAGAGACCCUGCGCCGAAGAUUACCGGGGCUAAAGUACGAAACCGAAGCUGUGGCUACGACAUAAGUCGUGGGGUAGGGGAGCGUUCUGUGAGGGCUGAAGUCGUUCUGUAAGGAACGGUGGACUUCACAGAAGUGAGAAUGUUGGUAUGAGUAGCGAAAAGAAUGGUGAGAAUCCAUUCCACCGAAAGCAUAAGGAUUCCUGGGCAACGAUCGUCGUCCCAGGGUAAGUCGGGACCUAAUCCGAGGCAUGGAGCGUAGGAGAUGGACAACUGGCAGAUAUUCCAGUACCGGUAAUGAUUGUUUGAGCGAUGGAGUGACACAGGAGGGCAGGCAGGCAGGAGAUUGGUUGUUCCUGUACAAGCGUGUAGGAUGGGUUGCAGGCAAAUCCGCAACCUGUGAGUCUGAGGCGUGAUGUGGAGGUUCCGGAAACGGAACCGAAGCUGCUGACCCCACACUGUCGAGAAAAGCUUCUAGUUAGAGAAUUACCGCCCGUACCGUAAACCGACACAGGUAUGCGGGGAGAGAAUCCUAAGGUGCGCGGGAGAACCCUCGUUAAGGAACUCGGCAAAAUGUACCCGUAACUUCGGGAUAAGGGUAGCCGCUGUUGUGAAGUCUGCACAGACGGAGCAUGAGGCGGUCGCAGAGAAGAGGCCCAAGCGACUGUUUACCACAAACACAGGUGCCUGCUAAAGAGAAAUCUGACGUAUAGGUGCUGACACCUGCCCAGUGCCGGAAGGUUAAGGAAGGAUGUCCGGAGCAAUCCAAAGCAUUCGACCGAAGCCCCGGUGAACGGCGGCCGUAACUAUAACGGUCCUAAGGUAGCGAAAUUCCUUGUCGGGUAAG
rnacentral:rRNA from 1 species